rnacentral:rRNA from 1 species
GAUGAACGCUGACAGAAUGCUUAACACAUGCAAGUCUACUUGAACUUCGGUUUGGGUGGCGGACGGGUGAGUAACGCGUAAAGAACUUGCCUCACAGUUAGGGACAACAUUUGGAAACGGAUGCUAAUACCUGAUAUUAUGAUUUUAGGGCAUCCUAAGAUUAUGAAAGCUAUAUGCGCUGUGAGAGAGCUUUGCGUCCCAUUAGCUAGUUGGAGAGGUAACGGCUCACCAAGGCGAUGAUGGGUAGCCGGCCUGAGAGGGUGAACGGCCACAAGGGGACUGAGACACGGCCCUUACUCCUACGGGAGGCAGCAGUGGGGAAUAUUGGACAAUGGACCAAAAGUCUGAUCCAGCAAUUCUGUGUGCACGAUGACGUUUUUCGGAAUGUAAAGUGCUUUCAGUUGGGAAGAAAAAAAUGACGGUACCAACAGAAGAAGUGACGGCUAAAUACGUGCCAGCAGCCGCGGUAAUACGUAUGUCACAAGCGUUAUCCGGAUUUAUUGGGCGUAAAGCGCGUCUAGGUGGUUAUGUAAGUCUGAUGUGAAAAUGCAGGGCUCAACUCUGUAUUGCGUUGGAAACUGCAUGACUAGAGUACUGGAGAGGUAAGCGGAACUACAAGUGUAGAGGUGAAAUUCGUAGAUAUUUGUAGGAAUGCCGAUGGGGAAGCCAGCUUACUGGACAGAUACUGACGCUAAAGCGCGAAAGCGUGGGUAGCAAACAGGAUUAGAUACCCUGGUAGUCCAAGGGCGAAUUCCACAGUGGAUAUCAAGCUUAUCGAUACCGUCGACCUCGAGGGGGGGCCCGGUACCCAGCUUUUGUUCCUUANGGGGGGGGGUUA